GUACGGUAAUAUCAUUAAAGGAGAACAAAAGAAAAGGCAAAUAAACAACCACAUUUAGUAAGGUGUGAAUCCUAACUGAUAAGGAAGCUGAGCAACGAGUGAGUCAUAUAGAUCCUAGGAUGUUGACAUUGUCAUGGGAACGUCACAAGGUAGUCUUUACUGUUCAGUUGACCCAUCUAUGAGUUCACCAUUAAAAAUUAAAAAAAAAAACAGAAAAA
rnacentral:lncRNA from 1 species